UCCCUUGUGGUCCAGUGGCUAAGACACCAUGCUUCAAAUGCAGGGGGCCCAGGUUCGAUCCCUGGUCAGAGAA
rnacentral:tRNA from 1 species